GUCGCAAAGCUUUUGGAGACCCUUCCUCGUUUCACCUUCACCUUUUCUAUUGACAAACCCUAUUCAUUUACCAUUCAUCACCAUCAGUCCCCACUUUCCGCACGACCCAAACCACCGUCACCAUCUUAUCGCCGCCGUGCUUCCGCUUAUGUUAAUUUGAAGUCCGGCGAACAUGGUUGACAGAAUUAGCAUGUUAUCAGAUGAAGUCCUCUGUCACAUUCUCUCCUUUCUCUCAACUGAACAAGCUGUUGCCACAAGUGUUCUCUCAAAGAGAUGGAAGCACCUCUGGAUCUCAGUAUCCGUUCUCGACUACGACGACGAAAUCUAUCUCAGAAACAACAGACCCCAUUCUUGCUUUGAAAGGUUCGUAUACGCAACCAUUCUACCCAGAGAUGCUCAACAACCCAUCACAAGGUUGCGUCUUAUAUACGGGCGUUAUGGUUCUGAACUUUCCGAUACCGAUGUCAGUCAUGGCCGUUCGAAUGCUGAUAUCAUUGUUUGGGUAAAAACGGUUAUACGACGCGGAAUUCAGAACCUUGACAUCCAGAUACAUCCUCAAAAUUAUACUAUUAGUUUGAGCAGCUGCAUUUUCAGUUGCCAAACCCUUGUUGUUCUCAAGUUGUCAGGGUUAUCUCUCAAUGUGUCUUCUUCAGUUGAGCUUCCCUCACUCAAAUCCCUACAUUUGGAUCUUGUUAAAUUUGUGGAUCCUAAUUAUCUUAUGGAGCUUCUUUAUGGCUGUCCAAUGCUUGAGGAUUUGAAGGCAGAAUGGAUACAUUAUGCUGUUGAGGAGUAUGAUGUUAAGGAAGAGUUUAAAUACUUACCCAAGUUGGUCAGGGUACAUCUACGUUUUAUUUCUAUGUAUGAUAUUGAAAUUCUUCUGAAAGCAAUAUGUAAUGUGGAGUUUUUGAGUAUCAAACAGUUGCGGGAUGUUGAUGAGGUUCCUGAAUUUUCUCAUUUAAGAUAUUUGUCCCUCUCCUUGGAUAUUCAUAGCUGGCAUUCGGUGCUUUUGAUGCUCAAGAGUUGCCCCAACCUUCAGAGUUUUAAACUUAAUUUGCGUCGAUCUUUUGAGGCUGUGGAUGUUCUACCUUACACUCACUUUGUUGUUCCUGAAUGCCUUACAUCACACCUUAAGAAGUGCUAUCUCAAAUAUUACCGAGGCACAGAAUGUGACCUACGAUUUGCAAAAUAUAUUAUGCAGAGUUCAACAUCUUUACAGUCCAUGAAAGUUCUUAGUGUUUCACCUAAUUCAUUUGAAGCGCUAAAGGACUUAGCUUUGUUCCCAAGGAAAUCCACAUCAUGUACCAAACUGAGUGUAUGUAUAAUCUUGUGUUGGUUCUGGUUUUCCCUGCUUCCAGCUGAUCUUGCUUUACUGUUAUCACUGCUUCUGGCAGCUUUUAAGGCCUCCCAAUCAUCAUCAACCCCAUCAAGCAAAGGUUGCUCAACUUCAGAUGUUAAUUUCUGUUUCUUUUCUAUCCCAUCGUUGAGAGUAUCUACUUCAUCUGCUGUAUUUAAAUCCAUUUCCUCUUUUCCCUAUAUGGAGCUUCCAUCGGCAGUCCCAGUGUCCCAAGUUCAGCAUCUAAUUUCUGUCUUUUUUACACUUAGUGUUGGCUACGGAGCCAAAAUUUGAGUCGAUUUCGGUAUCGACGCUAAUUUUAAAUCAAGCUUUUUUGUAGUGUUUGAUGAGAAGGGGGUGGCGGAUUAUUAACCUGAUUCUGAUUUAGAGAGUUCUUUAUUUAGAGAGUUUUUGUAAUGUGCAUGCUGGGUGUUAUUAUCGGUGGUGCUUAUUUGUUAUUUUCUUUGUUGAAUUCGACUUUUGUAGAUGGUGUUGUGCCAAGGGCUAAGAUGAACCAAGCACUAUCUCAAUGAUGAAAUAGGCCCUUGUUGCAGGCUGUACCAUGCUUUUACUAAAGAUAGAGCCUAUACUAUCAUUCUUGUCUUAAUGGGAAGCACAUAUCAGAAAUAACUGAAUUUAUGUGUCCUGGCAUCAAACUGACAUUGCAAUCCACAUUUAUUUUGUCAUUAGGGAAACUGAGUUUAUUCCAUCAAAAUCACUCUUGAUUAUGCCAUGUGCAUGUUUAUUGUGCUUAUGAAUAACUCCAGUAAAGUAAAUUAUUCCAUUUUUUAUAUAUUCUUCCAAUCGCUCUUCCUUCCCUUUCUUUUUAAUGCUUAGUUUUUUUUCAGGGUUGGGUUCAAUGACAUGGUGUGUGUACUCUAACAUUCUGCACUUUUCUGGGAUAGAGUUGGAGGAGUGCUUUGGUUGACUCUUGCAGUGGUAGUGAUGAUCAGCUUUGAACAUUCUGCCAUUGUGUGGUCAAUGUAGGGAAUGCCAUUUAGGGUGGAAAGACUUGGUUAUUGUUGUUGUUCAAGACUCUGAGUGAUUGUUGUUCAUGGUGUUAUAGGAGAGUGAUGAUAUUCUGCUGUCUAUGUGUGCUUUUGUAGUUUUCAACUUAUCCUUUUAUAGUUGCACUUUAGGUUAAGAUA